UAAGGGAUAUUGCGCAAUGGGCGAAAGCCUGACGCAGCAACGCCGCGUGCCCGAUGAAGGCCUUCGGGUCGUAAAGGGCUUUUAGGGCUGAAGAGAACGGACGGUAAGCCCGGAAGAAGUGUCGGCUAACUACGUGCCAGCAGCCGCGGUAAAACGUAGGACGCAAGCGUUAUCCGGAGUUACUGGGCGUAAAGGGCAGGCAGGCGGGUCGAUAAGUCGGAUGUGAAAUCUCCCUGGCUUAACCGGGAGGGUGCAUUUGAGACUGUCGACCUGGAGGGCAGCAGAGGAGCGUGGAAUUCCGGGUGGAGUGGUGAAAUGCGUAGAGAUCCGGAGGAACACCAGAGGCGAAAGCGGCGCUCUGGGCUGCACCUGACGCUGAACUGCGAAAGCCAGGGGAGCGAACGGG
rnacentral:rRNA from 1 species